rnacentral:rRNA from 1 species
CCUACGGGGGCUGCAGUCGAGGAUAUUUAGCAAUGCCCGAAAGGGUGACUAUGCGACGCCGCGUGUGCGAUGAAGGUCUUCGGAUUGUAAAGCACUGUCAGCUGGGAGGAAUCUCGGGAGCUUUAACAAAGCUGCCGGGUGACAGUACCAGCAGAGGAAGCCACGGCUAACUCCGUGCCAGCAGCCGCGGUAAUACGGAGGUGGCAGGCGUUACUCGGAUUGAUUGGGUGUAAAGGGCAUGUAGGCGGUAAAUUAAGUCGAGUGUGAAACCCCUUGGCUCAACCAAGGAACUGCACUCGAAACUGAUUUGCUUGAGUGAUGGAGAGGAAAAUGGAAUUCCCGGUGUAACAGUGAAAUGUGUAGAUAUCGGGAGGAACACCAGUGGCGAAGGCGAUUUUCUGGCCAUAUACUGACGCUGAAAUGCGAGAGCUAGGGGAGCAAACA